GCCCUGUGGUGUUUUACGCUAGAGUGCAAAUCUAGAGAAGAACCCUAAAGGCGUUCCAGGGCU
rnacentral:tRNA from 1 species